UGGGGAAUAUUGGACAAUGGGCGAAAGCCUGAUCCAGCAAUACCGCGUGUGUGAAGAAGGCCUUAGGGUUGUAAAGCACUUUCAAUUGGAAGGAAAAAUUCGUGGCUAAUAUCCGCGAACUUGACAUUACCUUUAGAAGAAGCACCGGCUAACUCCGUGCCAGCAGCCGCGGUAAUACGGAGGGUGCAAGCGUUAAUCGGAAUUACUGGGCGUAAAGCGUGCGUAGGCGGCUCGUUAAGUCAGAUGUGAAAGCCCUGGGCUCAACCUGGGAACUGCAUUUGAAACUGGCGAGCUAGAGUUUGAGAGAGGUAAGUGGAAUUUCAGGUGUAGCGGUGAAAUGCGUAGAGAUCUGAAGGAACACCAGUGGCGAAGGCAAUCCCCUGGACCUGUACUGACGCUCAUGCACGAAAGCGUGGGGAGCAAACAGG
rnacentral:rRNA from 1 species